GUUACAAUCCUGCUCUUUAGGAUUUAUUCUGGUUAUUAACUCCUUUAUUAGAUAUCUCACACAUCUUCUGUCAUUGUGUAGGUUAUGCUUUUUACACUGUUGAUUGUAUCCUUUGGUGCAUAGAACUUGUUUUUAUAUAGUUGAGUUUAUUAACUUUCCCUGUGCUUUUCAUGUUUAUAAAGGUUUGGUUACUCUAGCAUUAUUGAUGCAUUUCUUUUAUAGUUUUAGAACACUUGGCCUUUUAUCUAUUUUGAGCUGAUUUUAAUAUACAGUAUAUAUAAAAGAUCCAACUUUUCUUUUGUAUGUGGCUGUCCAGUUGCUUUAGCACUAUUGGGUAGUCUUGGCAAGUCUUUUUCAAAAGCAUUUUUAAAUAAUUAGUAAUGAGAGAGGACUUUACACUUAUAUUUUCUCUGCCUGUAUGUGCUGUUUUAGAGAAGAGCAACAGCUGGAAAUGGAAUGCCCAAUCUUGACUUUGUCAUUAAAUCACUGAAUCACACUGAAUAAGCAGCUGUGAACUCACUGUACCCAUGUUGUUACAGAAUGAAUGAGAGGUUUAUUUAAAUCUGAUAUAGGUAUAAGAUGUCUAUGGAGUGUUUAGAGACAAAACAAACUAAAAAAAACAAAGUAAGCCAGGUGUGAUGGUGCACACCUUUAAUCCCAGCACUUGGGAGGCAGAGACAGGCAGAUUUCUGAGUCCGAGGCCAGCCUGGUCUACAAAGUGAGUUCCAGGAGAGCCAGGGCUAUACAGAGAAACCUUGUCUCGAAAAAAAACCAAAAACCAAAAAAAAAAAAAAAAAAAAAACCCGAAGUAAAAUGGGCUUGGUAGCAUAAGCCAGACUUAAAUUCCAAUAGGCGAGAAGGCCAGCCUGGUCUGCCCAGUGAGACACUGCCUCAGAAGCAAGAACAAAACCCAAAGUAAUGAUGUGUAGUAGUUUACCUCUAGUUUCCUGUUCUGUUUUUGUCCUUUGUUUGGAUUUACAAUUAUAAAAAUCUAGUGAGCAUUAAUGUUGGGUUCUGUUAUUACAUGGUUUGCAACCUAAUAGCAUGUGGAGAUUUUUUUCCCUUGAAUUUUGUAGUUCAUCCUAGAAAAGCAGGUGUGAGAGAAAAACUAAUAUAACUUUGUCAGAGUUGUCUUAAUGGUAGCUGGCUACUUUGAGAUUGUAUUUUUAAAGAAACACAUUGAAUGGAAACUGGGUUAAGUAUUGGGAGGACGCUUUAAAAGCAGUAUAUUGAACAAAAACUGGGUAUGAGUUUAGCUGACAGAAACCAUGUUGUCUUUGGAGUUUUUGUUUUCUACAGGUCUGAUUUAUAAAGAGCUUUUAGUAGCAUAUGUUUUCGUCCCAAAAAACUGGUUAUAGUAUUUUUUUAAUACUGUAAGUCUGUUUUCUAAACAUUCAAAAAAUUGCAUGAAUUUGGCAUUUCAGAAGAAAAAUGACAAAAUGGUACCCAAAGAACAUCAUUGUGUUUUUAAUUGUCUGUGAUGUCUUAAAUACAAGAGGCAAGAAAUUCUAUACAGUUGAGGCUUCUACUGAUCCCGUGUGUUGAAUUGAUGUAAGAUAAUUUAUGGUCAGAAACAACUAAAAAUUGUUUCAUCUUGUUUAUGUUAUAGGUUCUUUAAAAAGUUGUGCCAUUAUCAUUGCCACAGUUUGUAAUUUGAAAUUUAAAAUUAUUUUUCAGCCAUGAUGAUCUGACAUUUAUGACUAAAAUGCCUUAAUAUAGUUUUUUUUUUAAUUUUAGGUAUUUUCUUUAGAUGACAGAUGCUCAUACAAUGACCCCAUCUUUUCAUUUUUAGAAAUUGAUUUCCUUAUAUGAGCUAUUUUUGCUAGCUGGAUUAAUUUAUGUAAUUAUGCAUGUCUUACUGAUUAUAAACCUAAUACAG
rnacentral:lncRNA from 1 species